GCGGAGCAUAGUUAAUAGUUGCUCCUACGCUAAGUGGAAAGGCAGGACGAUUCUAAAAUCGGACGCAGCCAAACCGGUGACAGGCACAUGCGAGUGCAGCGGUACACAUACACGCUCGGGAGUUGGGAAAGAAAAGAAAAAAAGGAAAAAGGGCAAGCACCCAUCUGCAUGCACGCAUCUGUCCAAGCCGCGCCACCACUCCCUACCCCAGGUUUCCAGAAACUACACGAACCCAAUAUCUUCCCC
rnacentral:lncRNA from 1 species